GACGAACGCUGGCGGCGUGCUUAACACAUGCAAGUCGAGCGGUAAGGCCCUUUCGGGGGUACACGAGCGGCGAACGGGUGAGUAACACGUGGGUGACCUGCCCUCAGCUCUGGGAUAAGCCCGGGAAACUGGGUCUAAUACCGGAUAUGACUUCAUGACGCAUGUUGUGGAGUGGAAAGCCUUGUGCGGCUGAGGAUGGGCCCGCGGCCUAUCAGCUUGUUGGUGGGGGAUGGCCUACCAAGGCGACGACGGGUAGCCGGCCUGAGAGGGCGACCGGCCACACUGGGACUGAGAUACGGCCCAGACUCCUACGGGAGGCAGCAGGUGGGGAAUCUUGCGCAAUGGGCGAAAGCCUGACGCAGCGACGCCGCGUGAGGGAUGACG
rnacentral:rRNA from 1 species